AUACUUACCUGGAAGGGGAGAGACCAUGAUGAAGAAGGUGAUUCACUUAGGGUGAGGUUCAUCCAUUGCACUGCAGGUAUGCUGACCCCUGCAGACUCUCCAAAUGUAGAAAUCUCAACUGCACACUUUCUGAUAGUGGGGGCUGUGUUUAUGUUGUG